CCGGAAUGAUCCUUGCUCCAUUUUGAAAAUAUAAAGUGAAAGAGGUCAUGUUGAUCCAGCCCGGCCCAGCUGUAGUGAUCUCGUUACCGCCGUGAGAAUUUCCAGUUUUUCCAAAUUAGUUAUCAAGCACAAUCGUCUUUCUUCCCAAAAUUCGAUUUUUUAAUUUUUGCCCUCUGUUUUUUAUUUUCUUUUAACCAUAUAUACACAGCACUGUGCAAAUUUAAAUAAAAAAUAUUCAGGCGGAGUUAUAGAAGAAUCAAUCACACCGUGCACCCAUUCCAGUUUCUGAAACUUCUGUGAAACAUGGGCAUGGAUCGAGAGGUCUGCAACAAAAAAAGAUACAGCUCUGACUAUUUGUACACAUGCUUUUUCUGAUUUAACUUCAGUUUCUCCUCAAAGAAUGCUACAUUCACGGUAACACUAUUUUAACUUUUCAUACUACUUUUCUUUUAAUGUUAAGCGUCUUAUUUUUCCCAGCACGGGCUUGGUCUAGUGGCCAUCUAGGCGCCAUGGUCGCGGGUUCAAAUCCUGGCUUGGAGUGGUUGGGACUGGGCUGCUGGCCAUUAUAGCCCGGAUUGCCAGGCAUGUGGGCUUGCGGACGGCCCAAUUCCAUCCAUAAAUGAUGACAGGAUCAAUUAGGUCCAAUUCCAUCCAUAAAUGAUGACAGGAUCAAUUAGCUUGUAUAUACCUUGAUGUGCUACUGAAAAGUCAAGCUGCUGCGGACCGAGGUUUUGGCUAUGAAAUGAAUCAAUUUGAGGACAUAUCAAGGGCCUUGAAAAGCCUGUGAUGGUUCGAGCAUCGAUCAGGAUGAGUUCAUUUAAGUUCUUGUAAGCUUGUUGCUUUAGAUUUUCCACCACAGCCUGUUAAGAAAAAGUUGAAUGAUCAGAUAUCCUAUCUGUAGAUACAUCUCUAAUAUUUAGAGUUCUUGAUGAAUAUAUACAUUAUGAUGAUUUGAAGUGCUUA